CCCAAAGCAUGAUGUUUCCACCUCCAUGCUUCACAGUAGGUAUGGUGUUCUUGAGAUGCACCUCAGUACACUUCUUCCUCCAAACACGACGACUUGAGUUUCUACCAAAAUGGAUACAUGGAUGAUACAGCAGAGGAUUGGGAGAAUGUCAUGUGGUCAGAUGAAACCAAAAUAGAACUUUUUGGUAUAAAUUCAACUCGUGGUGUUUGGAGGAAGAAGAAUACUGAGUUGCAUCCCAAGAACACCAUACCUACUGUGAAGCAUGGGGGUGGGAACAUCAUGCUUUGGGGCUGUUUUUCUGCUAAGGGGACAGGACGAUUGAUCCGUGUUAAGGAAAGAAUAAAUGGGGCCAUGUAUCGUGAGAUUUUGAGCCAAAACCUCCUUCCAUCAGUGAGAGCUUUGAAUGGUUGACCAAAUAAUUAUUUUCCACCAUAAUUUACAAAUAAAUUCCUUAAAAUUCCUACAAUGUGAAUUCCUGGAUUUUUUUCCCACACUCUGUCUCUCACAGUUGAAGUGUACCUAUGAUGAAAAUUACAGACCUCUGUCAUCAUUUUAAGUGGGAGAACUUGCACAAUCGGUGGCUGACUAAAUACUUUUUUGCCCCACUGUAUAUGCCGACAGUCCACACAAUCUAAAAAGGUUAUACUUGUUUUUCUUUUCUUCCAUUUCACAACAUUGAUGAUGGAUUGACUUCAAAGCACAACCCGUUAUUGCUUCAAAGUAAUCUGUCCCUGUGUCAAACCAUGAACAUUAACGUCAAAACUAUUUUUAAUUGCAAAAGCUCUUUUUAGCUCGCAUUUUGACAUAUUGCCUUGUCAUGGAGUGUACAGUGUAAAAAGAAGUUAGCCACUAGGGCCAAUGUGGUGUUGCCAAUGAGCCUUUCCACAGUCACAAGGAGAACAUGCACAGUCCACGCAGAAAAGACCCCGAGUCAAACUCAGGACCUUCUUACUGCGAGGUACGAACUCUACCCACUGCCCCACCGUGCUGCCGACUUCUAAUUCUCAAAUGUAAAUACUUUAUAACACAUGAAUUCGAUGCGGUGUCAUAAUGGCGGUUCGGUCUGAGUGACUAUAAAGGCUUUAGUCAAUGAAUAAAUCAACUUCUCAGGGAAAAUGUUUGUCUAUUUUAAGAUUUACUUCAUGUGUAACCAUUUUAUUAUAUCUUCUCAUGGGACAGUACAAUCCAAGUACACUUCAAAGUCAUACAUGUACAGUUUGGAAAUAAGUAUAAAGUUUCUUGCUUCUGUAAA